CACACAGACAUACUGACACACACACACACUGACAUACACACACAGACAUACUGGCAUACACACAGACAUACUGACGCACACACACACACUGACAUACACACACAGACAUACUGGCAUACACACAGACAUACUGACACACACACACACACACAGACAUACUGGCAUACACACAGACAUACUGACACACACACAGACAUACUGGCAUACACACAUAGGCAUACACACAGACAUACUGACACACACACACA